rnacentral:rRNA from 1 species
AUGGCGAACCGAGCGGAAUCUUCGUCGGCGGGCUGGACUGGUAAGAACUUGGAAGAGUUGCUGCAGCAUCUGGAUCUCAAGGAUGAUGAGCUCGAUGAUGUGACAGUGGGGGAAGAAGAGGUGAAGAAGUUUGAAGCGGAUGCUAGAUGGCUAGCGAUCGGGAAGGUGAACACGACUCGCACUUUCAGCUCAUCAGCGAUGUUUGAGUGCAUGAAGUCAAUCUGGUCUCUCGCGCAGGUCCUAAAGUUUAGAGAGGCAGGAGAAAACCUGUUUAUUUUUCAUAUGUUCUGUCUUGGUGAUUGGAAGAAGGUUGUGCAUGGAGGUCCAUGGCUUUUCAGAGGGAUGGGGAUGUUGAUAGAAGAUUAUGAUGGCAAGAAGGAACCAACCUCGUUUUAAUUUGAUGGGUUAUACGUGUGGGCACAGAUCCAUAACAUCCCGGAACUCUAUCGCAAAGUUGAGGUUGUAGAUCAGUUAGCCCGCCGCAUCGGCCGGGUGAAAGAAACUUAGCUCGCGCCUAGGCUGUUCUAUGAAGGUGAUUAUGUUAGGGUUCGAGCUAGGGUUCUUGUGAACAAGCCUCUGACAAGAGUUACACCGCUUAAUGUGGUGGGAGAAGGUAGACUGCUCCUUCCAGUGAAGUAUGAGAAGAUCCCCUAUUUCUGUAAGGUGUGUGGAUUCAUGGGCCAUAAUCACGAAGAGUGUGGAGAUGGUGUUUGGGAGGAGACACAUAAGCAAUGGGGCAGCUGGAUGAUAGCACAACGGAUGGAAGUUGCACCAGAGCAGCAAAGUGGCUGGGUGCCGCGUGGAGGUCGUUCAGGUGGAAGGGGCAUAGGAAGGGCAGGCCGGGGCGGGCAAGCUGGUCGGCAGCGUUCCCCACCAUGA